rnacentral:rRNA from 1 species
CCUACGGGUGGCAGCAGUGGGGAAUAUUGCGCAAUGGGCGAAAGCCUGACGCAGCGACGCCGCGUGAAUGAUGAAGGUCUUCGGAUUGUAAAGUUCUUUUCUAAGGGAAGAAGAAAGUGACGGUACCUUAGGAAUAAGCCUCGGCUAACUACGUGCCAGCAGCCGCGGUAAUACGUAGGAGGCGAGCGUUAUCCGGAAUGACUGGGCGUAAAGGGUGCGUAGGUGGUUUGACAAGUUGGUAGCGUAACUCCGAGGCUCAACCUCGGCACUACUACCAAAACUGUCGGACUUGAGUGCAGGAGGGGCAAUUGGAAUUCCUAGUGUAGCGGUGGAAUGCGCAGAUAUUAGGAGGAACACCAGUGGCGAAGGCGGCCUGCUGGACGGUGACUGACGCUGAGGCUCGAAAGCGUGGGGAGCAAACAGGAUUAGAUACCCUAGUAGUC